rnacentral:rRNA from 1 species
UACAGAGGUCUCAACCGUUGUUCGGAUUCAUUGGGCGUAAAGGGUGCGUAGGCGGUCGCGUAAGUCAGGUGUGAAAUCUCAGGGCUCAACCCUGAAACUGCACUUGAUACUGCGUGGCUCGGGUACUGGAGAGGAGACUGGAAUUUACGGUGUAGCAGUGAAAUGCGUAGAUAUCGUAAGGAAGACCAGUGGCGGAGGCGAGUCUCUGGACAGUUACCGACGCUGAGGCACGAAGGUCAGGGGAGCAAACGGG